rnacentral:rRNA from 1 species
CCUACGGGUGGCAGCAGUGGGGAAUAUUGCACAAUGGGGGAAACCCUGAUGCAGCGACGCCGCGUGAGUGAAGAAGGAUUUCGGUAUGUAAAGCUCUAUCAGCAUGGAAGAAAAUGACGGUACCUGAUUAAGGAGCCCCGGCUAACUACGUGCCAGCAGCCGCGGUAAUACGGGGGCUGCGAGCGUUAUCCGGAUUUAUUGGGUUUAAAGGGUGCGCAGGAGGAAGAUCAAGUCAGCGGUAAAAUUGAGAGGCUCAACCUCUGCGAGCCGUUGAAACUGGUUUUCUUGAGUGAGCGAGAAGUAUGCGGAAUGCGUGGUGUAGCGGUGAAAUGCGUAGAUAUAGGGAAGAACACCAGUGGCGAAAGCGGCUCUCUGGUCUGUAACUGACGCUGAGGUUCGAAAGCGUGGGUAGCAAACAGGAUUAGAUACCCGGGUAGUC